GCAAAAAAUACGUGAUCGGCCCACGUCCA
rnacentral:piRNA from 1 species